rnacentral:rRNA from 1 species
UACAGAGGGUGCGAACGUUGCUCGGAAUUACUGGGCGUAAAGCGCAUGUAGGCUGGUCUGCGUGUCAGAUGUGAAAUCCCCGGGCUCAACCCGGGAACUGCAUCUGAAACUGCAGGCCUUGAGUACUGGAGAGGGUGGCGGAAUUCCUGGUGUAGAGGUGAAAUUCGUAGAUAUCAGGAGGAACACCGGUGGCGAAGGCGGCCACCUGGACAGUUACUGACGCUGAGAUGCGAAAGCGUGGGGAGCAAACAGG